UACACAUGUGCCACUUGACAAGUGAAAACAGGUCUUCGGGAUAUUUUAAAUCGAAAAUAUCUUCCACUGAACAAGCUGCAAUUCAUCCAAGCAAUCAGAGUUGUCCAGUGACAAAAAGGUUUUGGAGAACUUUAAAAAGAGUGUCACCUUUCUGUAUUACUUUCGAAAACUAAAAUCAUUAUAUUAUGGACGCUCAGCAACAACUACAUGAUCGUAUCAAACAUUUUAUAUUGAGAAAAACUUUUGAAAUCGCAUUCAAUCUUUGUGACGGUGUUGGGAGAGUGGCUUCAGCAUUGGAUGGAGACGACUCAAAUACAGAUAUCUACCAUGUUGACUUCAUCAUUGGAAUUAUAGAGCAAAUGUUGGAGUUGUACAACAUAAAGUUUCAAAAAUUACAAAAUGCAAUGGCAUUCAUUCUGGCAAACGUUGAGGAUAUUUCUGCCAGAACCCUUUCAAUGUAUGAAACCUCUUCAGACAAAAAAGAUACCCUGAUCCACAUCAUACUUUAAACUAAAGUAAUUUUAUGACAAGACAAGUAAGAUUUAUACAUGGAUUUAAAAGCACAAGAAAUAAUCAUAAUGCAAGCAAUUUUUGAUAGAAUUCAACUCAAUUAGAAAUAAAAUAGAAUUCACUCAUUUUAAUUACAUUUGAUUAUCUAUGAUAUCGAGAUAAUAUAGUUUUUAGAAGACGUAUCUUAUAAUAUAUUUUAGAUGUACUAUAUUCAUAUACACCUACUUGCAGAAACGUUGUCAUAGGAAAUAGGACAUUUGUAUAAAUUAGUAAAAAGGAAUAAAUUAAAACAAGACAAAGGGAGAUCACUGAGGCUGAACGCUUUCUUUUGUCUUGUUUUAAUUUAUUCCUUUUUACUAAAUUCAAAUGUUCUAUUUUCUAUGACAACGUUUUUGCAAGUAGGUGUAUAUUCAUAGUUGUAUAUUUAAUUCACUGGUGUUCAAUCUUGUACAACCCCAAGCCUUCGUUCUUUUGGCCAACGCCAAAAAUGUUUGUCGACUACGCUGGCCAAAAAAACGAAGGCUCGGGGUACGAGAUUGACUGGUGUUAUGGUAGGAAAUUUAUAAAUCCUGCUGCCAAAGGAAGAACAAUCAAUCAUUUUGAUUUUUAACCUAUAAUUAGCAAUGCUUUGCUCAGUAGAUUAGCAUUGACCAGAUGUAUCCUGAGGUAUUGUGUUCUCUGCACUUGACGUCAAAUUUAUUCUUUUGAAUUUUUUACAAUACAAAAGGAAUUCAAAAGUGUAAAUUUUCAAGUGUAGAGAACACA